rnacentral:rRNA from 1 species
CCUGAAACCGUGUACGUACAAGCAGUGGGAGCACAGGUUUACCUGUGUGACUGCGUACCUUUUGUAUAAUGGGUCAGCGACUUAUAUUCUGUAGCAAGGUUAACCGUAUAGGGGAGCCGGAGGGAAACCGAGUCUUAAUUGGGCGUUAAGUUGCAGGGUAUAGACCCGAAACCCGGUGAUCUAGCCAUGGGCAGGUUGAAGGUUGGGUAACACUAACUGGAGGACCGAACCGACUAAUGUUGAAAAAUUAGCGGAUGACCUGUGGCUGGGGGUGAAAGGCCAAUCAAACCGGGAGAUAGCUGGUUCUCCCCGAAAGCUAUUUAGGUAGCGCCUCGUGAAUUCAUCUCCGGGGGUAGAGCACUGUUUCGGCUAGGGGGCCAUCCCGGCUUACCAACCCGAUGCAAACUGCGAAUACCGGAGAAUGUUAUCACGGGAGACACACGGCGGGUGCUAACGUCCGUCGUGAAGAGGGAAACAACCCAGACCGCCAGCUAAGGUCCCAAAGUCAUGGUUAAGUGGGAAACGAUGUGGGAAGGCCCAGACAGCCAGGAUGUUGGCUUAGAAGCAGCCAUCAUUUAAAGAAAGCGUAAUAGCUCACUGGUCGAGUCGGCCUGCGCGGAAGAUGUAACGGGGCUAAACCAUGCACCGAAGCUGCGGCAGCGAACGUAUCACCCAAGACAACUUUACGGAGUUGACGAUUGACGGAGCGAAGCGACGUCAAAGCGUUCAUUAAAGUCGAGUUGGCUUAGGGAUACGUUCGUUGGGUAGGGGAGCGUUCUGUAAGCCUGUGAAGGUGUGUCGUGAGGCAUGCUGGAGGUAUCAGAAGUGCGAAUGCUGACAUAAGUAACGAUAAAGCGGGUGAAAAGCCCGCUCGCCGGAAGACCAAGGGUUCCUGUCCAACGUUAAUCGGGGCAGGGUGAGUCGACCCCUAAGGCGAGGCCGAAAGGCGUAGUCGAUGGGAAACGGGUUAAUAUUCCCGUACUUGGUGUUACUGCGAAGGGGGGACGGAGAAGGCUAUGUUGGCCGGGCGACGGUUGUCCCGGUUUAAGCGUGUAGGUGUGUGUUCCAGGUAAAUCCGGUUCACUUUAACACUGAGGCGUGACGACGAGGCACUACGGUGCUGAAGCAACAAAUGCCCUGCUUCCAGGAAAA